AGUGAACGCUGGCGGCAGGCCUAACACAUGCAAGUCGAACGGCAGCACAGUCUGAGCUUGCUCUUAGGUGUGGCGAGUGGGGGAGGGGGGAGGAAUAUAUCGGAUUCCACUUUUUCGGGGGGGAUAACGUCGGGAAAUUUACUCAAACCCCGCAUACCCCGUACGGGGGAAGGCCGGGGCUCUUCGGCCCUUUCUCUAUUGAAGGAGCCUAUGUCGGAUUAGCUCGUUGGCGGGGUAAAGGCCCACCAAGGCGACGAUCCGUAGCUGGUCUGAGAGGAUGAUCAGCCACACUGGAACUGAGACACGGUCCAGACUCCUACGGGAGGCAGCAGUGGGGAAUAUUGGACAAUGGGCGCAAGCCUGAUCCAGCCAUACCGCGUGGGUGAAGAAGGCCUUCGGGUUGUAAAGCCCUUUUGUUGGGAAAGAAAAGCAGCAGGUUAAUACCCCGCUGUUCUGACGGUACCCAAAGAAUAAGCACCGGCUAACUUCGUG
rnacentral:rRNA from 1 species